CACGGAGUUAGCCGAUGCUUUUUCUUCGGAUACACGCAGUCCGGGACACGUCCCGGGUUUUGUUCUCCGACAAAAGAGGUUUACAACCCAUAGGGCCGUCUUCCCCCACGCGGCUUGGCUGGUUCAGGAUCUCUCCCAUUGACCAAUAUUCCUCACUGCUGCCUCCCGUAGGAGUCUGGUCCGUGUCUCAGUACCAGUGUGGGGGACCUUCCUCUCAGAACCCCUACGCAUCGUCGCCACGGUGGGCCGUUACCCCGCCGUCAAGCUAAUGCGCCGCAUGCCCAUCCUCUUCCGAUGAAUCUUUCCUCGAUCUCGGAUGCCCGAAACCGAUAUACGCGGGAUUAGCCUCCCUUUCGGAAGGUUGUCCCCCUGAAGAGGGCAGGUUGCAUACGUGUUACUCACCCGUGCGCCGGUCGCCGGCAAGGAAAGCAAGCUUUCCUCCCGAUGCCCCUCGACUUGCAUGUGUUAAGCCUGCCGCUAGCGUUCAUCCUGAGCCAGGAUCAAACUCU
rnacentral:rRNA from 1 species